rnacentral:rRNA from 1 species
CAGCCGCCGCGGGAAUACGAAGGGUGCAAGCGUUACUCGGAAUUACUGGGCGUAAAGCGUGUGUAGGUGGUUGUUUAAGUCUGUCGUGAAAGCCCUGGGCUCAACCUGGGAAUUGCGAUGGAUACUGGGCGACUAGAGUGCGGUAGAGGAUAGUGGAAUUUCCGGUGUAGCAGUGAAAUGCGUAGAGAUCGGAAGGAACAUCUGUGGCGAAGGCGACUAUCUGGGCCAACACUGACACUGAGACACGAAAGCGUGGGGAGCAAACAGGAUUAGAUACCCCCGUAGUCCCUGUCUCUUAUAC